ensembl:snoRNA small nucleolar RNA SNORA2/SNORA34 family
CUGGCCCUGAAUCAAGGCCAGCUGCUUCUUGAUGCUGUUGGUUUCAAGCAGGAGCCUAAAGAGAUGUCUUUCUAUGGUCUGUUGGCCAUUUCAGAACUUGGGCAGUGAAAUGGUCAAUUCAUUAGAAAGAAACAGCU